GUUUGUUUUGAGACAGGGUUUUACUCUGUUGCCCAGGCUGGGGUGCAGGGGCAUGAACAUGGCUCACUGCACCCUUGACCUUCUGGGCUCAAGCGAUCCUCUUGCCUCAGGCUUCUGUUUAGCUGGGGCCACAGGCGGGCACCAAAAUGCCUGGCUAAUAUUUUUGUUUUUAUUUUGGUAGAGACGAGGUCUCACUUUGUUGCCCAUGCUGUUCUCAAACUUCUCGGCUCAAGUGAUCCUCCCACCUCGGCCUCCCAAAGUGCUGUGUUACAGGCAUAAGCCACCGCACCUGGUCUCUACUUUGUUCUUACUCUUCUUCCUGACUCUGUGAUCAGCUCUUUUUCCUCAUUGACAUCUCUUAUCACCAGCAGAGGCCUACCACUAGACACCAGGUCCGUAUUGGAAGCCUUGACUCUGGCCCAGACAUUUCUGCUGUACCUCAUGUAGGGUGAGCCCAGGACCUGCCACACUGUGCCAGCCUCGCCCAAGCCACCCUCCAGCCAGGACGCAGUCUUUCCUGACUCAGCAGGCUGAGGCACCUGAGGCUUUCAUUUUAAUUAUGAACCACUUCAAAGCCUUUCUGGAAGCAGUCUCUGCAAUAACCAACCUGGGUUCUCUCCUAAUGUGGGGAUUGUCCUGGAGCCCAGGCCUUCCAAGGCUCCUCCGCCCGCCAACAUCACCUACCUUAUCUUCCUCUUCAGCACAUCCCCAACAUUGUCUAAGCGGUAACUCACCUGAGCAAAGCACUUGACACGGAUUCAUUCAUUUACUCCUCACAACAACCUGAUGAGGUCCCAUAGCUGGAGAGUCAUCGCUGCAGCAAGCUCUUGAGUCAGACAAGCCUGAGUCUGAAUCUCACUGCUUUGUGGCCUUGGGCAAGUUCUUGACCUUUCUGAGCCUUAAUUACUUAAAGUGGAAAGUGAGAUAAUGGCAGCUAAUUCUAGAUGUUGAGUCAACUCCAUUUUGCAACCACUAUAGUAGUGAUUGAUUCUGAAAAGAAUCAUCAAUGGAAGCUAAAACUAUUGGGCAAAAAUUUGCUGGGGAAAGGACAGUCUCAAAGUAUUUUUCCACAGAGCACUGAAUAACUUCAAAGGGGAAAAACAAUAACCUUUACAAUGGAUAGAUCUGGCAGGAACCAUGUUAACCAAGUGAUCAAAGGUAGCAUCACCAAUAAUGGGGCAAACCGACAUCCUGUGCUUCCCCAUUGAUGCGCCGAGAAGGACACAGCAUUGCUCAUGCAGCAACCUUGUCAAAAAUGCGUAAACGGAAUCUAAUCAUGAGAAAACUGCCAGACAGCCAAACUCUUCAGAAAUGUCAAUAUAAUGAAAGGCAACAAAGAUUGAGAAUAACUUUACCAGGUUAAAGAAAACUAAAAAGAUAUGACAACUGACUGCAACGCAGAAUCCUGGACCAGACCCUGGAUCUGGUCAAAAGAAAAAUGCUUUAAACGACAGUAUUGGGACAAAGGGUAAAAUUUGAAUGUGGAUCAUGUAAUAGAUGAAUAAUAUAUUGUAUCAAUGAUA